GGACGAAAGUCUGACGGAGCGACGCCGCGUGGUGGAUGAAGUCCCUAGGGACGUAAACACCUUUUAUGAGGGAGGAAGUUUAUUGACGUUACCUCAUGAAUAAGGGGCUCCCAAUUCUGUGCCAGCAGGAGCGGUAAUACAGAAGCCCCGAGCAUUACCCGGAUUCACUGGGCGUAAAGGGUGCGUAGGUGGUCGUAUUAGUCGGGUGUUAAAUCCUGGGGCUUAACCUCAGGCUCGCAUUCGAAACGGUAUGACUAGAAGAAGUCAGAGGUAAACAGAACUCUCGGUGUAGGGGUGAAAUCCGUUGAUAUCGAGGGGAAUACCAAAUGCGAAGGCAGUUUACUGGGACUUUCUUGACACUGAGGCACGAAAGCGUGGGUAGCGAACGGGAUUAGAUACCCCGGUAGUCCACGCCCUAAACGCUGUCUGCUAGCUAUGAGGAGUAUCGACCCUCUUCGUGGCGUAGGUAACCCGAUAAGCAGACCGCCUGGGUAGUACGAGCGCAAGCUUAA
rnacentral:rRNA from 1 species